rnacentral:miRNA from 1 species
AUCAACGGAAAGCUUUUGGCUAGGGUUUGACUGAUGAGCAGCUGAGGGUUUUCAGUUUACGCAGAUGGAGGCAGUGAGUUUGAGGCAGCAAAUGCAUAACUUGUAGAAUUAUGAAUGGGCAAAGUGAUGGUACCGAUGACUUUCUUGCAAGUUAUGCAGUUGCUGCCUCAAGCUUGCUGCCUCCCUCUGCCAAAACUAGUGUGGACAAAAUAACCCAUGUCAAUGCAUUAUGGUUGAGAAUGUCUGCAGACCGUCUCAUGUCAGCUUUGAUGCAAAACAUAUCUUUGGCCAAUAGCAUUCAGUAAUGUUCUGCAUAACACAUUUGCUAGCGUUAUAUAUUGUUUGGGACACAGUGUGGGUACUCCUCUUUCAACUAUUUCUAGGUGAAUGCUGUCCAUUACAUCUCCUUCACAUGAGAUGGGUGAUUUGCAGAUGUCUCA